rnacentral:misc_RNA from 1 species
UAGAUAGGUCAGGUAACACACUGCCAAUAAAUAAUGAGGACCGCAGCUAAAACUGAGAUUGCGUCGUACAAAUUAAGUUACCUUCUGGAAAAAGAUAGGAUGUCGUCACUAAAAAUUGCUAUCCGGAAUCUAUGACAGAUAACAAAACAAAGUUUCUCUAGAUCACCAAAGCUUCUAGCACUAGCUCUUAUUAUCUUUUGGGAUGUCGAGACCCGUGAAAGCUGGGCUGUCAACUCCAACUCCCAUCGCGUUCAGACCAUUGUCAACAUACACAGUGGCGCCAGUAAUUGCUGAAGCCAAAGGAGAUGCCAGAAAUGCAGCAGUGUUCCCAACCUCCUCAGCAUACAACUCCUUUUGCAAAGGAGCAUUCUCCAGUGAGUAAUUUAUCAUCAUGUCGAUAAAGCCAAUAGCUUUUGCUGCACGACUUCCCAGUGGACCUGCAGAUAUAGUGUUGACUCUGACUUUGUGCUUUCUUCCAGCUUCAAAUGCCAGGACUUUUGUGUCACUCUCCAAAGCAGCUUUUGCUGAACUCAUACCACCUCCAUAUCCAGGGAUAAUCCUUUCAGAAGCAAUGUACGUUAGAGAGAUUGUGGCACCGCCUGGAUUCAUUAUGGGAAGAAAGUGCUUUAGUAGAGAUAUGAAGGAAUAACUGGAGGCAGAUAUAGCUGCAAGGUAUCCUUUUCUUGAUGUCUCCGAUAGAGGUUUGCUAACCUCUGGACCAUUUGCAAGUGAAUGUACAAGGAUGUCAAUAGUGCCAAAA